GAUCAUGGCUCAGGAUGAACGCUAGCUACAGGCUUAACACAUGCAAGUCGCGGGGUAACAUCUGGUAGAGCUUGCUCUUCCAGGAUGACGACCGGCGCACGGGUGAGUAACGCGUAUCCAACCUGGCCCAUACCACGGGAUAGCCCGUCGAAAGGCGGAUUAAUACCGUAUGAGGUCACAUGCGGGCAUCUAAGUGUGACGAAAGGUUUAGCGGACAUGGAUGGGGAUGCGUCCGAUUAGCUUGUUGGCGGGGUAACGGCCCACCAAGGCGACGAUCGGUAGGGGUUCUGAGAGGAAGGUCCCCCACAUUGGAACUGAGACACGGUCCAAACUCCUACGGGAGGCAGCAGUGAGGAAUAUUGGUCAAUGGGCGAGAGCCUGAACCAGCCAAGUAGCGUGCAGGACGACGGCCCUAUGGGUUGUAAACUGCUUUUAUAAGGGAAUAAAGUGAGUCUCGUGAGACUUUUUGCAUGUACCUUAUGAAUAAGGACCGGCUAAUUCCGUG
rnacentral:rRNA from 1 species